GACGAACGCUGGCGGCGUGCUUAACACAUGCAAGUCGAACGGAAAGGCCCUGCUUUUGUGGGGUGCUCGAGUGGCGAACGGGUGAGUAACACGUGAGUAACCUGCCCUUGACUUUGGGAUAACUUCAGGAAACUGGGGCUAAUACCGGAUAGGAGCUCCUGCUGCAUGGUGGGGGUUGGAAAGUUUCGGCGGUUGGGGAUGGACUCGCGGCUUAUCAGCUUGUUGGUGGGGUAGUGGCUUACCACGGCUUUGACGGGUAGCCGGCCUGAGAGGGUGACCGGGCACAUUGGGACUGAGAUACGGCCCAGACUCCUACGGGAGGCAGCAGUGGGGAGUAUGGCACAAUGGGCCGGAGCCUGAUGCAGCGACGCCGCGUGCGGGAUGACGGCCUGCUGGUUGUAAACCGCUUUCGCCUGUACCGAAGCGGGAGUGACGGUAAUGGGUAAAGAAGCACCGGCUAACUACGUG
rnacentral:rRNA from 1 species